CGCGCCUGGUCUGCUCUUUUCUUUUUAUUCCACCACAUGGAUCAAUCUCAUAAAUAUUCUUAACCUAGGGGAUAGGAGAUGGAUGUCAGUUUGGGUGGUACUGUGACUGUUGUCCUCCUGGGGCAUUUGUGUCUAAAUGAUGCGAUGCCUAUUUAGACUGUAGGUCCCUUGGGGUAGGGACACAGGCCAUCCUUUCUAUAAUCCAAUGUCUCGCAUUAUCUAGGUGCUCAAUUAAUGUUGUUAAUGUUAACGAUAACGAAUUAUGAGGCUUUUGUCUGAUUUACUUUGUGAUUCUUGAUUAUGUUUGGCUAAUUUCAAAAGGGAGCCAUAAUGAAUGGAUGUCUUAUUUUUUAAAUCAUUCAGAGUCUUCAGGCCAUUGCAGCACAGAAGAGAUUUCAUUUCAGAGAAUUGGCUUGCUGAAGCAAUCUAAAUUUCUUCUCUUGAAAGCGGAAAGUGUGUGGGAUGGCCUGACAUAUUGGUUUCCAUGUUGAAUUACACAUGGAAGGUGGAGCUGUAUGUCUAUGCCUAAGCAGCUGCAGGCCUAUGAAUGUCUAGUUUUGCUUAUAGCAUAUGGAGGCUGAAGAGGUGUUAUUGUUGAUAAGGUUUGCUUGGCCAAUUAGAAUUUAAAUGUGUGUCAGGGAUGGGUGAGUAAAAAAUGAGGGGCGCCUAUUGCAAAUGUAAAGAGAGCUGGUGAAUAAAAAAUGAGGGGAGCCUAUUGCAAAUGUAAAGAGACCUAAGAGACCUAUCAACAUAAGACAAUAUGUGGUAUCUCGUAUGCAGU
rnacentral:lncRNA from 1 species